rnacentral:tRNA from 1 species
GCUUGGAUAGCUCAGCUGGUAGAGCACUUCCCUGAAGAGGAAGGGGUCGUCGGUUCGAUCCCGACUCCAAGCACCG